GACGAACGCUGGCGGCGUGCCUAAUACAUGCAAGUAGGACGCAGUUGCGAACGGGUGAGUAACGCGUAGGUAACUGCCUAUUAGAGGGGGAUAACUCUUGGACACGAUCGCCAUUACCGCAUACUAGUAGAUGGACCUGCGUUGUCUUAGCUAGUAGGUAGGGUCAUGGCCUACCUAGGCGACGAUACAUAGCCGACCUUGAGGGGUGAGCGGCCACACUGGGACUGAGGCAAGGCCCAAACGCCUGCGGGAGGCAGCAGUGGGGAAUCUGGGGCCAUUGGGGGAAACCUGACCGAGCAACGCCGCGGGGGUGCAGGAGGGUUGCGGGUCGUAAAGCUCUGGUGUUAAGGAAGCGGUACUUAACCAGAAAGGGACGGCUAACUACGUGCCAGCCGCCGCGGUAAUAC
rnacentral:rRNA from 1 species